GUCGAGCGGAUGAAGAGAGCUUGCUCUCUGAUUCAGCGGCGGACGGGUGAGCCAUUCCUAGGAAUCUGCCUGAUAGUGGGGGACAACGUUUCGAAACGUACGCUAAUACCGCAUACGUCCUACGGGAGAAAGUGGGGGAUCUUCGGACCUCACGCUAUCAGAUGAGCCUAGGUCGGAUUAGCUAGUUGGUGAGGUAAUGGCUCACCAAGGCUACGAUCCGUAACUGGUCUGAGAGGAUGAUCAGUCACACUGGAACUGAGACACGGUCCAGACUCCUACGGGAGGCAGCAGUGGGGAAUAUUGGACAAUGGGCGAAAGCCUGAUCCAGCCAUGCCGCGUGUGUGAAGAAGGUCUUCGGAUUGUAAAGCACUUUAAGUUGGGAGGAAGGGCAGUAAAUUAAUACUUUGCUGUUUUGACGUUACCGACAGAAUAAGCACCGGCUAACUCUGUGCCAGCAGCCGCGGUAAUACAGAGGGUGCAAGCGUUAAUCGGAAUUACUGGGCGUAAAGCGCGCGUAGGUGGUUUGUUAAGUUGAAUGUGAAAGCCCCGGGCUCAACCUGGGAACUGCAUCCAAAACUGGCAAGCUAGAGUACGGUAGAGGGUGGGGGGAAUUUCCUGUGUAGCGGUGAAAUGCGUAGAUAUAGGAAAGAACACCAGUGGGCGAAGGCGACCCCCUGGACUGAUACUGACACUGAGGUGCCAAAGCGUGGGGGAGCAACAAGAUUAGAUACCCUGGUAGUCCACGCCGUUAACGAUGGCAACUAAGCGGUGGAAACCUUGAAAAUUUAAGGGGGCCACUUAAGCAUUAAGUUUGACCGCCGGGGGAGUACGGGCCGCAAGGGUUAAAA
rnacentral:rRNA from 1 species